AACGAACGCUGGCGGCAGGCUUAACACAUGCAAGUCGAACGCCCCGCGAGGGGAGUGGCAGACGGGUGAGUAACGCGUGGGAAUCUACCGUACCCUACGGAACAACAGUUGGAAACGACUGCUAAUACCGUAUACGCCCUACGGGGGAAAGAUUUAUCGGGGUAUGAUGAGCCCGCGUUGGAUUAGCUAGUUGGUGGGGUAAAGGCCUACCAAGGCGACGAUCCAUAGCUGGUCUGAGAGGAUGAUCAGCCACAUUGGGACUGAGACACGGCCCAAACUCCUACGGGAGGCAGCAGUGGGGAAUAUUGGACAAUGGGCGCAAGCCUGAUCCAGCCAUGCCGCGUGAGUGAUGAAGGUCUUAGGAUUGUAAAGCUCUUUCACCGAUGAAGAUAAUGACGGUAGUCGGAGAAGAAGCCCCGGCUAACUCCGUGCCAGCCGCCGCAGUAA
rnacentral:rRNA from 1 species